rnacentral:rRNA from 1 species
AUUAGCUAGUUGGUAGGGUAAUGGCCUACCAAGGCGACGAUGGUUAGCUGGUCUGAGAGGAUGAUCAGCCACACUGGAACUGAGACACGGUCCAGACUCCUACGGGAGGCAGCAGUGGGGAAUUUUGCGCAAUGGGGGAAACCCUGACGCAGCAACGCCGCGUGGGUGAUGAAGGCCUUCGGGUCGUAAAGCCCUGUCGGGAGGGAAGAAAUGAUUGAGAGCUAAUACCUCUUGGUCUUGACGGUACCUCCGAAGGAAGCACCGGCUAACUCCGUGCCAGCAGCCGCGGUAAUACGGAGGGUGCAAGCGUUGUUCGGAAUUAUUGGGCGUAAAGCGCGUGUAGGCGGUCUUUUAAGUCUGAUGUGAAAGCCCCGGGCUCAACCUGGGAAGUGCAUUGGAAACUGGGAGACUUGAGUACGGGAGAGGAGAGUGGAAUUCCUAGUGUAGGAGUGAAAUCCGUAGAUAUUAGGAGGAACACCGGUGGCGAAGGCGGCUCUCUGGACCGAUACUGACGCUGAGACGCGAAAGCGUGGGUAGCAAACAGGAUUAGAUACCCUGGUAGUCCACGCCGUAAAC